AAAAUUUAGUUAUUUGGCAUUUUGCUAUAUUUCCCUAUUAUCUGCACUCUCUUGUUGUUUUUUGUUUUUGUUUGUUUGUUUGCUUGCUUUGGAGAUGUCUCACUAAGUAGCUUUGUCUGAUCUGGAACAUUCUGUGUAGACCAGGCUGGCCUCAAACUCACAGAGAUCCAUUUGCAUUUUCCUCUCCAGUGCUGGGAUCAAAGGCAUUUGACACCUUACUCAGACCACACAACAUCUAUAAUUCAAGGGCAUAUUGUAUGUGGUGGAAUCCCUCAGCAUUGUGUGUGCCCCACAUGGUUCUCCUAAUCUGUGUGCUGUGAGAGACAUCCCAGUAGUUUGACACUGACUGUGAUGGUAUUUAGACUAACCUGUAUUAAUCAUGGAGUGUUUGGUUGAUUUGUCAAAACAGUCACUGGAAAAAGUCUUGAGACUGAUGAGAGCUGAAACUGUACCUGUCUGGAUCCCACUGUAAGCAGCACAAAACUGACAAAAUAUCCUCCCAGUACUCAGACAGCGAUGCUCAUUCAGCAGAGGAAGACAGAUCACCCUAGAGUGAGCAGCUGACACAUGCCUUAACUGUCCUCCUUUGUUUUCUUGUUGAUGCAAAUGUAGUAACUGCCGGCUUGCUUGCCAGAUUAUACUCAUUAAUCAGUUGUAAAUGUGGGAUGGCUGCAGGUACAAGAACUUUUGGGAAAAUUCAACAAAAACCCUGAGAAAUUAUGUGAAAUUUGCCAUAAAGUGUUAUAAAUAAAAUGUAUCACUAAAUU
rnacentral:lncRNA from 1 species